rnacentral:lncRNA from 10 species
AGAUCUCAAGCCCAGUUCAUGGCCUGACCCGUCGUCACCAAGGCCCGGACAUGCUAUCGGCUCCCUGAUCUAUGAGAGAACAGAGGUUUGGGCCAAGGACACUGGGAGUUAUACUUCUGGGCUUCUCAGCUCUCAGGGUCCCAGCGUUUUAAAAUUUCGUUUCAUUUUUUGGUUAGGUUAACAGAAACAAUGGGGUUAUUUCCGGUAGUGGCAACAGCACGAACUAGUUUUCUUGUGGACUAAUGGCCCGAGAGUUCCUGUGAUUUGUGGAUUAUUUCCCUUAGAUGCAAUCGACCAUUUCGUUCCAAUAAGAAUUAAUGCUACCACGGGGCUUACAAAGAACCCCUCAAGUCUUCCAAAUCUGCCCAUGACAUCAACCUCUGCUGCGUAAUCGGACCUGCACCCAACCCAGGUUUUUAGUCACUCAAGCGCGCUGUGCUACAGAACCAGGGAAAAGCACUGAAGCUCUGAACAUAGAGCUUGGCCAUCAGGGCCACACCCCCACACCCACCCGGGUACCAUCCGACCUAGGGACUCUUCCUGCUCCGAAUCUACCUGGCAGGGCCUAGAAGCCACUAUCCAGGUGCCUGCUUUUCAAUGGGGAAUGUUUUUUACCCCGAUCAAAGAAUGACCUCAAAGGUCAUUGUACUGUAGUAGAGAAAUAAUUACAAAAUACAAACACUCCAAAUAAAAUAACAAUCACUCAAGUUUCUUAUUUGUAAGUGAUCAGAGUUAGUGAUCCAGGAUAAUUUGCAGGCAUCAGCUGGCCACAAAUCGUGGACCUCCAUUUUGAAAUGAGCAUGAUUCCAUCAUUAAUUACGAAAAACACCUUUCCACAAAGAUGACAUGUUUUGUUCAGAAACUCUUUUAUGGCCCACGUUGUUACAUUGGAAUUUUAAGGGAAUAAUAAGUUAGGAUUUACCACUGGGUGCUUUGGGAACCAUACCCUUGCCUUGCGCAGGCAGUCUCAUGCGCAAUGCGGCAGACUGUCCAAAGGUUUCAUUUCACAAUGUUCAUGAGGGAAUAGGCAAUAGGAUUUGCGAACUGCAUCCGCAAGUGCCAUUCAAAAUCAGUGGGAGAAAAUAGCUUUUUUUCUUCUGCAAAGGAUUUUCUUUUAUGCAUAUUGUUUCAGUUCAGCAGUUUUGAAGUUGAGGGAAGAAUGUUGCAAUGUAAUAUUUAUUAGCAGGUGGGAAAAAAAACACAACCCAUCAAUACAUUUAGAGAGCAAAAAGAUCUACUCUUUUCCUACUCUGGCAAAUAAGAAACACACGAUGUUUCAACACAGAGAUGUCUUGUAUUUCUCAAAGAUCUAUUGGGUUUUUACCAAGACCUGCACCAUAUAUUCUGAUACCAUUACCUCCCAAAACAUGGAUUCAUUUUGUGAUAUAAAAGAAUCCAAAUUCACCUGACGGAUUAUCAUAUGCGGGAAGAGCCUAUCUUGAGUUGCUUAAAAAUUUCUCUAAGAACUAGAGAAACAUUUAAAAAUAUUUAAAAUUCCAUCUCAUACAACACAAGGCCCAAUAAACCAUCAACCCUAGAAAUUAACCAGCAUCAGUCACUAAAGCCUAGAUUCAAACACCAAGCACAUCCUAGAAACAGAGAAUUCACCCCACCCCCACCCAAGCCCCAACCCUCAAAAAACACCUGUUAGCCUCCCAGGAACCUCUGGCCACGGCCACAGGUAAACCACAAAAACCACAGCUCUAUAUAAAAUGCCUUUAGUGACCCCCAGCAAAGUGGAGAUGUUCAGUAGUAACCCGUCUAUACACUUUCCUAGGGUAGGAUUGAGGGGCUCUCCAUCUAGGCAGUGGGAUCCUGUCUGUGGCUACCCGUAUCUCAGAAUUUUUGAAAUAAUACUGCCCCCUUAGACUUCUGAACCCAGCCGGACUCCACCCCAGGCCCCAGGGGACGCCCUAGGAACGAAGUGAUUGGGGGAAGGGGCUUAGACAGCGACCCCCCACUUCCCCGGGAAAUGUAGGGGAGCAGCCGGACUGAGCUGCCCAAGGGGGUCGGCGCCCCAGGCUUCUUGGUGGCAUGCUGGGGAGCGGGGAGGGGGCGAUUCUUACCCGAAGGCUGCCGAGCUACAGGCGGCGGUCGGUCCGGGCGUCUGCUGUAAUCCACUAGCUCCGGAGGUGGCGGCGAUGCGGACCGAGUGAGCGGCGGUGGGGCCAGGCCGGGCGCCGGGCGGGAGCCGAGGCCGCGGCGGACUCCGCAAUCCCGCAGCCGGUGACUGGAGCCCACCUCUGCAGAGACAAAGGAACUGCUCUGGUGAACUCCCCCUGAAAGUAAAUGUCCUUGGCUGGCCUCCAGCAUUCCCCUCAUGGGCAUAGCCAUGCAGCCUUCAGAACCUUCCUGAAAGAGAUGCCCAAGGAUUCAGCAAACACGGGGGAAGCAGAGGACACAAGAAGCUUGGAUGUGAAAUAGCACUUCCUUCUGUGUUACAGAAUAAAACAAUAUUUUAAAUUACACAAGCAGAUGGGGCAAGUUUUUGGGCCCUCAGAAGCCCAGAAGACUUCACACUAGUAUACUGGUAUAUACAUGUGGAAUUGAGCAAAUAACUUGUUUAAUUCCAAAAUUUUCUGAGAAAUAAUCUCAAUAGUCAAUUUGCCUCAUUAUCCUCUCCCCAUCUUACCCAAAUAAAAGCAGAGCUUUAUGACCCUCCCUUUCAACUUGGGGAAUGAGGGCCGCAAAGACACUUUGCACUGAAAAGCAGCCAUAUUUGCAUUUUUCUCCCCUUGUGCAGAGGUAAGCGAUAUAUUGGGCUUUGUGGAACCUCACAAAAUGGCAUCCUUGAACUGACUUCUCUGAAAACCACUGAGACCCACAUUCUCUUUUGUGUGUUUCUGGUCAUUGCAAAUGGAGAGCCUAAAUCACUCAGAAGGCUUGGUUCUUUCAUUCAGUGUUAACAUUGGAGAGAACCAUUUUUCUCUAAACGGUUUACAGACCUCACUAGGCAGACUGGUGCAGUUCAGGGCUGAAAAGUGCUGCCUGGGAUGGCAAAGCAUUCUCUGAAGGUUUAUGCAAAUUUCUGCAGCAAAAAAGUGUUCGCUUGUUGCCUCAAUGCUUGGAUGUUGACACAUUUGAGCCCAUUAGAAGGGCAUCUUGUGCGCAAGUCACUGCCAGUCUGUCUGCAUGAAACACCAUGAUGGGGGGUGGGGAUGUCUAGUCAGUGUAAGAAAGAAGGUGGCGAGUGUGUGUGAUGUGUAAUUCCCCCAGGUCUUUAUUUGAACACAAAUCUAUGCUCUUUCCCAGCUACAAAAGGAAACAUUUACCUACAUGAAUAAUCAACACUCUGGGCGUGUGUGUAAGCUAUGUAUACAUACAAAUUCAUAAUCUAAUAUAUACCAGCUAUUGCAACAGUCUGUCUGUACAUGAGGUAUGAAUUUACCAUGGUUUAGGCGGCCAGUGGGGCCAGAAGUUACACUUUGAGACCAGCACAGAAUGCUGAAGAAAUGACAAUUUUAUCUCCUCUUCCUUCCUUGAUUUCCGUACCCACCCAUACACAGGGCUCCCACCUGACAGUCUUGCCAACAUUAUUUCAGGGUUCUAAAAGUAUCUGGUGAGCAUCCUUGAGCAGGAGACAGCCAGUUUUGCUAAUAUAUAAAGAAGUCCUGAGUCCCUUAAAUCCAGGGCAGCUGGAUUUCAGCCAGCACUGGUCUUUGGAUGGUUUACACUGGAGGCUGUUCCCCAGCCUCUUGGCCCUUGGCAUCCUUACUCUGUACCAGCUGACAGCAGAGUCUUAAGCAGUGCACAGAGCAAAACAUUCUCAAAUCCAGCAUAGGCAUUUGCAGCUGUCUCUUGGAGUGCAAAUGUUUAAGUUCUGGGCCACCUGUGAUUUAAAAUUAUCUUUCCUGGCUCAGGUCAGAGAAUGUCACAGCCAUCACUUCUUCCCAGCAUGGAAAGCCAGGUGGUGCUUUCCUUCUGACCUGGCCAGUGGCAACAUUUCUGUGUCCAUGAAGCCACAGGCAAACAGCCUGAUAAAACCCGAUGAGG